GACGAACGCUGGCGGCGUGCCUAAUACAUGCAAGUCGAACGCUUCUUUCCUCCCGAGUGCUUGCACUCAAUUGGAAAGAGGAGUGGCGGACGGGUGAGUAACACGUGGGUAACCUACCCAUCAGAGGGGGAUAACACUUGGAAACAGGUGCUAAUACCGCAUAACAGUUUAUGCCGCAUGGCAUAAGAGUGAAAGGCGCUUUCGGGUGUCGUUGAUGGAUGGACCCGCGGUGCAUUAGCUAGUUGGUGAGGUAACGGCUCACCAAGGCCACGAUGCAUAGCCGACCUGAGAGGGUGAUCGGCCACACUGGGACUGAGACACGGCCCAGACUCCUACGGGAGGCAGCAGUAGGGAAUCUUUGGCAAUGGACGAAAGUCUGACCGAGCAACGCCGCGUGAGUGAAGAAGGUUUUCGGAUCGUAAAACUCUGUUGUUAGAGAAGAACAAGGACGUUAGUAACUGAACGUCCCCUGACGGUAUCUAACCAGAAAGCCACGGCUAACUACGUG
rnacentral:rRNA from 1 species